AACAUCUCAGGAUGGGGCAAUAUUUGGUGAGAACCAUAUUGGAUUCUACCAAAUUACAAAUAUGUUCCAGGAUGGCCUGAUCACUCACUCACUACUCCCUGCAACUCCAUGGAGAAGAUAUAAGCUGUCAAAAAUGUAUUUGUGAGUCUGAUGAGCUCUUUCACCCAGGUGACAGGGGUUUCUGCCAUACUAAUAUUCUUCUUCUUCUUCACCUUUUGUGUUUCAGUGCUGGGCCUGGAGAAGGCAGGGACCUUGGCUCUUCCAUGGUGGCUGUUCAUCAGCACUCACACAUCCACUACACCGGUUUAGUCGCAUGCUGGAAGUAGAGACAGGGUUUCACCGUGUUAGCCAGGAUGGUCUCGAUCUCCUGACCUCGUGAUCUGCCCGCCUCAGUCUCCCAAAGUGCUGGGAUUACAGAUGUGACCAAGCAAGAGUUUGUCAAUUCAGAGGUAGAGCCCAGAUGGUGGGAAUCAAGGGAGGGAAGUGAGGGGCACACGGGCCCCUGGGGGCUGAGGCAGGAGACAGCUCUCUGCCUUUCUCAGAGGACCUUUGGAGAUGUGAAUGAAAACAGCUGUCUGAACAAGUUGUACCCUAACUAGCGCGGCUGCGAGUCUGAAACUUGAAACGGGGAAGUUGGUCAGCAUGGGUGAAGCUAUGCAGCCCAGGUGAAGGGAUCCUCAAGCAGCAGCCUCUGCCUUUUUGUCCUCUCCUUUUCAUGGAGAUGACAAGAAUCACCCCGGGACUUAUCUUCUGAGGUGCUCAGCUGUGCUCCCAGAGCUGCUUUGGUCACUGCUAUGGCGGGUGGAAGCAGGAUGGGUGAAGUCAUUCUGGAGAACAAUGUAAAUUAUAGCCAAAUUAUAUAUUUGCACAUGCUAUGACCCAGGAUCCCAAUAUAUGCCAGAGAAACUCUUGCACAGAUUCAUGUGG
rnacentral:lncRNA from 1 species